AACGAGCGCAACCUUGUCCUUAGUUACCAGCACGUUAUGGUGGGCACUCUAAGGAGACUGCCGGUGACAAACCGGAGGAAGGUGGGGAUGACGUCAAGUCAUCAUGGCCCUUACGGCCUGGGCUACACACGUGCUACAAUGGUCGGUACAAAGGGUUGCCAAGCCGCGAGGUGGAGCUAAUCCCAUAAAACCGAUCGUAGUCCGGAUCGCAGUCUGCAACUCGACUGCGUGAAGUCGGAAUCGCUAGUAAUCGUGAAUCAGAAUGUCACGGUGAAUACGUUCCCGGGCCUU
rnacentral:rRNA from 1 species